CAAGCUCGCGAGAGUAAGCUAAUCUCUUAAAGCGUCUCAGUUCGGACUGUAGGCUGCAACUCGCCUACACGAAGUCGGAAUCGCUAGUAAUCGCGGAUCAGCAUGCCGCGGUGAAUACGUUCCCGGGCCUUGUACACACCGCCCGUCACACCAUGGGAGUUUGUAACGCCCAAAGUCGGUGGCCUAACCUUUAUGGAGGGAGCCGCCUAAGGCGGGACAGAUGACUGGGGUGAAGUCGUAACAAGGUAGC
rnacentral:rRNA from 1 species